rnacentral:lncRNA from 1 species
CAGGCUCUCAUCUUGAGACAGAGGCUUGAUAUUACAUAGAGACUUCUGGAAUGCCUAUUUUUGUCUUUAAAAGUUUGAGUUUUUGCUCUUAAUAGUAUGUGUUGAGAGAUCCUGUUUGUAGGUAAGACAAAAGAUUUUCAUCUCUCUCAAACAGGAGAAUAAAACAAACUGACGUCUACAGGAACGCAGUACAGGCAGAGCUGUCAAAUAAAAGGGCAACAGCAUUACCAGCUCAUGCAGUAGUGGAUGGACAUACCUCUAUACUGCUAAACUGAUGUGCAAGGGCAGGCUUUGACACAGGACCCGGAUUUGGUCUGUCUGCCUGGGUGUUGGCCCACUCCACAGAUCAGUUUUGGUCUGCUUCCACUGGUCAUCUCCAGCUGAAAUUUGCCGUAAAGGAAACUAGCCCUAAGGAGUGUAGGUGUGUACCAGUUAGUGUUCAUGUCUCUCUUUCAUUUAGCAGUGCUGUAUAUAACCACAGUGACUCUAACCCUUUUCUAAAUACUCUGUUUUCCCCAGGACACUCUUUCUAAGCUACAACUCAUAAUUAUGGCUCCUUCCUUCACCAUGCAGCUGUCCAAGUAACAUGUUUUUAUGAGGCUGAGACCAGUACAUCAGCUGCAGUCUACUUCAUCAUGAAGCAGAAUGUGGUUCACAGGAAAUACUAUCGGACAGAAGAUAAAAUUCAAGAAAAUACGAUAUUUUGGUCAUGCCUACAAUUGAAAUCUAAUGAAAAUGUUCACUUAUUUAGAAUAAAAACUCAUUAAAUAACAUUUUGUAGUUUAACGAAAUAAUUUUUAUUUUUUUAAUAUAGUUAAUACUAUGAAGUCUUCCUAAAAUUGUCUGAAGUUGAAACACCCUUUUAAAAUGGAGAGAAAGUAAUAAAGAAAAUAUAUGCAUCUACUUGCUUGACUGUGUUAGAGGAGUGCCUAGUGACCCUAAAAACACUAAAACUUGUCCAAAAUAUAUUAUUUGUUAUAUUAUUAAAUUGAUGUGCAAUGACCCUGUGAGCCAACACCUGGGGUUUUGGGUGCU